GACGAACGCUGGCGGCGUGCUUAACACAUGCAAGUCGAACGGUGAAAGCGGAGCUUGCUCCGCUGGAUCAGUGGCGAACGGGUGAGUAACACGUGGGCAACCUGCCCCUCACUUCGGGAUAACUCCGGGAAACCGGGGCUAAUACCGGAUAUGACCUCCUUGGGCAUCCUUGGAGGUGGAAAGUUUUUCGGUGAGGGAUGGGCCCGCGGCCUAUCAGCUUGUUGGUGAGGUAGUGGCUCACCAAGGCGACGACGGGUAGCCGGCCUGAGAGGGCGACCGGACAAACUGGGACUGAGACACGGCCCAGACUCCUACGGGAGGAAGCAGUAGGGAAUCUUCCGCAAUGGACGAAAGUCUGACGGAGCAACGCCGCGUGAGUGAUGAAGGCUUUCGGGUCGUAAAACUCUGUUGUUAGGGAUGAACAAGUGCUAGUUGAAUAAGCUGGCACCUUGACGGUACCUAACCAGAAAGCCACGGCUAACUACGUGCCAGCCGCCGCAGUAA
rnacentral:rRNA from 1 species